GCCACUUGAACUAUUACAUAUGGAUUUGAUUGGUCCUUCUAAGACAUUAAGUUUUGGCGGCAACUCGUAUAUAUUGGUAGUUGUUGAUGAUUUCUCUAGGUACACUUGAGUCACAUUCUUAGCUCAUAAAGAUGAAGCUUUUCUAUCUUUUACUAAUCUUUGUAGACGUCUUCAAAAUGAGAAAGGAUUUUCUAUUUCAAAUAUUAGGACUGAUCAUGGGCGAGAACUUGAAAAUUCUUCUUUUGAAAAAUAUUGUGAUGAGCUUGGUAUUGGACAUAAUUUCUCGACUCCUAGGACUCCUCAACGGAACGGGUAGUUGAGAGGAAAAAUAGGGCUCUGGAAGAAAUGGCCAGAACCAUGGUUUGUGAAAAUUCUUUGCCUAGAUAUUUUUGGGCUGAAGCUGUCCAUACAGCUUGCUUUUUUCCAUGUUUUUGGAUGUAAAUGUUUUGUGCUAAAUGAUGGAAAAUAUAACUUAGGAAAAUUUGAUGCCACAUCUGUUGAAGCUAUUAUAUUCAACAACUUGUAAAGCUUUUCGAGUUUUUAAUAAACGUACAUUACUUGUUGAAGAGUCAGUUCAUGUUGCCUUUGAUUAGUCUAAUGUCUCUCUUCCCAAGGAUGUAGUAAGUGAUAACAAAACAGGUAUAGAUCAUAGAAUGGAAAUAUUUGAAGGGACAUCGAAAGAUGAAGGACCCUUAAAUCAAAUAAUGCGAGAAAGGCAAUCACAAGAACUAGGUGGAGACAAUCAAGAUCUUUCAAAAGAGUGGAGAUUCGUCCAAAAUCACCCAAUUGAUCAAGUCAUAGGUGAUAUAUCCGAAGGUAUAACUACUCUUCAAUCUCUUAAAAAUAUAGACGUUGUGGCCCAAAGAUGAUGCAUUGGUGUCUAAGUAUCCGUUUGUAAUACAAUGAUCGCUUACUGUUUUUCAUUCACAUUUUCUUUGUCAGGGAUUAGAAAAAGAGGUUGUCACUUGCAGGGUGUAAGGUAUUAGGUAGAGGACUUUGGUUACUUAGUGGUUUUUUUAAUUCUAAAAAGCCUCUUGUAGUUUCCUUUCCUCAGUUCUUAACCGUCAAAUGCAUUUUUCCUCAUAGAAUUCACGUUCACCACAGAAGUAGAUGUAAACUACCAAUGACUUCUAAAUAGAUGGUAAUGGAGCAGUAAAGAGAUGAUGUUGGCCAUAGGGACUUUUUCUUGUUCUUCGUUCCAUCAACUUCCUGAAUUCGACCAAGUAAAACGAAGUUGCCGUAGGCGCCUUGUAGGCCAUAAUGAGCAUAGGAGGAAGCCGCCACCUGGAUCUCCAAUAUCCUUCCAAUAUGGACGGUUUUCUUUGGUUAAUUCCUUUCAGAUCCCUUUUUUUUUUUUUAGACAUGACAAAGGAAAGAAAAACUUUCUGGUCCUGUAUAGUGGUGGUUUUCAGAAUUAGUUUUGGAGAACACCUUCCACUAACUUGUUGGGUUGAUGGUUUUUUGAAUUUAUUUGAUUAGUUUUUUUUUCUAGUAAA